AUAAAAGCAACGAAGAGAAGAGUAACCAGGUUGGAACUUCAAAAGAGAGUCCUUGUAUGCUGAGAGGGGAUAAGGAAAGGUUUGGUGAACAUGGUCUUGGAGCUGCGUGAUCGAUAGUGUAGAUCACGACGGGCUGUCCCGUUACAGACAUAGAGUAUAUCUGAUGAUAUUCAGCGUACUUGAAGAGGAAAUGAUCGUGAGGUCAUUUUAAAGUAAGGUGGUACAGCGUAAUACUACGCCCUUAUC
rnacentral:ncRNA from 1 species